AAACUGUGCCAUAAAAUGGCUAUCUCUUAAAAAAACUGCCAAAUUCUUAUGGCAUUUUUGUAGUUUUGCCAUAAAAAUGCCAUAUUUUGAGAAAUGUUUAUAAUUUCCUAUCAAAUCUGCAUAGUUUUUUUUACUCCCCCCCCCCUCAUGGAAUCGGUGGAGAUUUUUAUUUCACUCUUAUCCAAGAUGGUAAAUUAAAUAGCCUGGGUUAAAAAAUUGCCGUUUUCUAUAGUGAUAUUUAAGAACUUCACGGCACUGUAAACAAAAACACUCGUCUGGCGGGCUACCAGCAGGCUUUGGAGCCACGGCUAUGCUAUUCCUUGGCUUAUAAAUUUAUCAUCAUGCCCAAGGGAACUAAGAAGCCAUGGAUGGACUUGCAUAAGCGAGCUGCCGAUACCAAGGCCUUCCUCAUAAGUCUUGGGACACCUGUAGCAUCAAGAUCAAGGAGCUGCCGAUCCAAAGGCCCGACUCAGGAGUGAUCCCUGUAGUAUCAAGAUCAA